rnacentral:lncRNA from 1 species
CGAACACCUGACCUCGUGAUCUGCCGGCCUCGGCCUCCCAAAGUGCUGGCAUUACAGGCGUGAGCCACCGCGCCUGGCCCCCAUUUAUCUUUAAAAGGCUGGAUUCACCCAGGCUGGUGCCCACAGCUCUGUUACUUACAACACAAACGCUGUCAGAGCAAGAGAAACCUUCAAAAUCAUCUGUCUGAGCCCCUAAUUUUAUAGACAAGGAAAAUGUAGGCCUUUGAAAUUGACUAAUACCAACUGAGCCCUUUGUAGGGCCAGGGCCCUCAGCUAAGUUUUACACAUUAUCUCAGUAAUCCCAGCACACACCUGUGAGGGGGUGCCAUUUUCACCCGCAUUCUGCAGAUAUGAAGAAUGAGACCAGAGUGGUAGAGUGGCCAGCUCAAAGUCACCCAGCUCAUAAGUGCCAGAGCUGGGACUAGAACUCAAGUAGUCUGACUUGGCCUGAGUCAAGACCUAACCACAAGGCCACAAAGUGAGGUACUGGUAAAACCAAGACCAAAACCCAAAUCCUGGCCAGGAACACUGGCUCACGCCUGUAAUCCCAGCAUUUUGGGAGGCCGAGGUGGG